AUCCAGCUGACGAGUCCCAAACAGGACGAAGCGCGUGCCCUGAAU
rnacentral:hammerhead_ribozyme from 1 species